rnacentral:rRNA from 1 species
GACGAACGCUGGCGGCGUGCUUAACACAUGCAAGUCGAACGGUAAGGGUUGGCAUUUGUGGGGUGUGCAAGUGGCGAACAGGGGUGUGUAACGCGAGUAACCUGCCCUUUACUUUGGGAUAACUUCAGUAAACUGGGGUGAAUAUCGGAUAUGAGCACCUGCUGCAUGGUGGGUGUGGGAAAGUGUCGGCGGUUGGGGAUGGAGUCGCGGCUUAUCAGCGUGUUGGUGAGGUAGUGGAGUACCAAGGCAUUGACGGGUAGCCGGCCUGAGAGGGUGACAGGCCACAUUGGGACUGAGAUACCACCAAGAGUGAUACGGGAGGCAGCAGUGAGAGACAGUGCACGAUGCGCGGCAGCAGGAAGCAGCAACGUCGCGUGCGAGAUGUCGGUCUUCGGGUUGUAACCCGCGUUCGCCUGUGAAGAAGAGCGAGUGACGGUAACUAGUAAAGAAGCAACGGCUAACUACGUG